UACGAAGGGGGCUAGCGUUGCUCGGAAUCACUGGGCGUAAAGCGCACGUAGGCGGAUUGCUAAGUCAGGGGGUGAAAUCCUGGAGCUCAACUCCAGAACUGCCUUUGAUACUGGCGAUCUCGAGUUCGGGAGAGGUGAGUGGAACUGCGAGUGUAGAGGUGAAAUUCGUAGAUAUUCGCAAGAACACCAGUGGCGAAGGCGGCUCACUGGCCCGAUACUGACGCUGAGGUGCGAAAGCGUGGGGAGCAAACAGG
rnacentral:rRNA from 1 species